GGAUCAGCGCGUCGGUCGUGCCUCCGGUAUGCACUGGCGCCGCUGGUUUCUCCCUUCUGAGGAACCGUGAUGUCAUUAAUUUGGUGUUGCGGGAAAUCAGGACUGUUACUUUGAAAAAUUAGAGUGUUUAAAGCGGGCACGCGCUUGAAUACAUUAGCAUGGAAUAACGAAAUAGGACGUUCGAUCUUAUUUUGUUGGUUUCUAGGAUUGACGUAAUGAU
rnacentral:rRNA from 1 species